UACAGAGGGUGCAAACGUUGUUCGGAAUCACUGGGCCUAAAGCGUACGUAGGCGGCGUCGUAAGUGUCGGAUGAAAUCCCACGGCUUACCCGUGGAACGGUCCGGCAUACUGCGGUGCUAGAGGAUGGUAGAGGAGAGCGGAACUCUUGGUGGAGCGGUGAAAUGCGUAGAUAUCAAGAGGAACACCGGUGGCGAAGGCGGCUCUCUGGUCCAUGUCUGACGCUGAGGUACGAAAGCUAGGGGAGCAAACGGG
rnacentral:rRNA from 1 species